rnacentral:rRNA from 1 species
UCGAACGGAGCUGAGAGGAGCUUGCUUUUCUUAGCUUAGUGGCGAACGGGUGAGUAACGCGUGAGUAACCUGCCCUGGAGUGGGGGACAACAGUUGGAAACGACUGCUAAUACCGCAUAAGCCCACGAUCCGGCAUCGGAUUGAGGGAAAAGGAUUUAUUCGCUUCAGGAUGGACUCGCGUCCAAUUAGCUAGUUGGUGAGGUAACGGCCCACCAAGGCGACGAUUGGUAGCCGGACUGAGAGGUUGAACGGCCACAUUGGGACUGAGACACGGCCCAGACUCCUACGGGAGGCAGCAGUGGGGGAUAUUGCACAAUGGGGGAAACCCUGACGCAGCGACGCCGCGUGGAGGAAGAAGGUCUUCGGAUUGUAAACUCCUGUUGUUGAGGAAGAUAAUGACGGUACUCAACAAGGAAGUGACGGCUAACUACGUGCCAGCAGCCGCGGUAAAACGUAGGUCACAAGCGUUGUCCGGAAUUACUGGGUGUAAAGGGAGCGCAGGCGGGAAGACAAGUUGGAAGUGAAAUCUAUGGGCUUAACCCAUAAACUGCUUUCAAAACUGUUUUUCUUGAGUAGUGCAGAGGUAGGCGGAAUUCCCGGUGUAGCGGUGGAAUGCGUAGAUAUCGGGAGGAACACCAGUGGCGAAGGCGGCCUACUGGGCACCAACUGACGCUGAGGCUCGAAAGUGUGGGUAGCAAACAGGAUUAGAUACCCUGGUAGUCCACACCGUAAACGAUGAUUACUAGGUGUUGGAGGAUUGACCCCUUCAGUGCCGCAGUUAACACAAUAAGUAAUCCACCUGGGG